rnacentral:rRNA from 1 species
CUACGGGCGGCUGCAGUAGGGAAUUUUCGGCAAUGGGGGAAACCCUGACCGAGCAACGCCGCGUGAAUGACGAAGUACUUCGGUAUGUAAAGUUCUUUUAUUAGGGAAGAAUGGCAGGUGGAAAAACCUGAUUGACGGUACCUAAUGAAUAAGCCCCGGCUAACUAUGUGCCAGCAGCCGCGGUAAUACAUAGGGGGCAAGCGUUAUCCGGAAUUAUUGGGCGUAAAGGGUGCGUAGGUGGUUAUUUAAGUCUUUGGUGUAAGUGCAGUGCUUAACGCUGUGAUGCUAAAGAAACUGGGUAACUUGAGUGUGGUAGAGGCAAGUGGAAUUCCAUGUGUAGCGGUAAAAUGCGUAAAUAUAUGGAGGAACACCAGUGGCGAAGGCGGCUUGCUGGGCCACAACUGACACUGAGGCACGAAAGCGUGGGGAGCAAACAGGAUUAGAUACCCGAGUAGUC